rnacentral:rRNA from 1 species
CCGGGAAACCGGGGCUAAUACCGAUGCUUGAUUGAACCGCAUGGUUCAAUCAUAAAAGGUGGCUUUNAGCUACCCUUACAGAUGGACCCGCGGCGCAUUAGCUAGUUGGUGAGGUAACGGCUCACAAGGCGACGAUGCGUAGCCGACCUGAGAGGGUGAUCGGCCACACUGGGACGAUGACACUGGCCCCAGACUCCUACGGGAGGCAGCAGUAGGGAAUCUUCCGAAUGGACGAAAGUCUGACGGAGCAACGCCGCGUGAGUGAG